rnacentral:rRNA from 1 species
AGCGAACGCUGGCGGCAGGCCUAACACAUGCAAGUCGAACGAACUCUUCGGAGUUAGUAGCGGACGGGUGAGUAACACGUGGGAACGUGCCAUUUGGUUCGGAAUAACUCAGGGAAACUUGUGCUAAUACCGAAUGUGCCCUUCGGGGGAAAGAUUUAUCGCCAUUAGAGCGGCCCGCGUCUGAUUAGCUAGUUGGUGAGGUAACGGCUCACCAAGGCGACGAUCAGUAGCUGGUCUGAGAGGAUGACCAGCCACACUGGGACUGAGACACGGCCCAGACUCCUACGGGAGGCAGCAGUGGGGAAUCUUGCGCAAUGGGCGAAAGCCUGACGCAGCCAUGCCGCGUGAAUGAUGAAGGUCUUAGGAUUGUAAAAUUCUUUCACCGGGGACGAUAAUGACGGUACCCGGAGAAGAAGCCCCGGCUAACUUCGUG